rnacentral:ncRNA from 14 species
CAUGAUUAGGUCUGUGGUUGAAAGUCGAUGCCAGUCGCAGGCGAAACGACCCACGUAAGUCAGACAAAGUCUGAUGAGCAUGGUGCGGCUUAGAAGUAAGUCCUGCCGGUAAAACCGAGAGGAGGAUUAGUGAGAGGCAUACACCUUAAGCAAAACUCCCAGCAGGCGAGUGUGGGGGCAAAGACCAGGUCAGCUAAUCAAU